GAGUCACCAGCUCCCCCGACGGAAAACGAAACCCACACCAAUUCAUAAGAUUUAUGAGAGUCAAAACCACAAACCCAACAACCUAUAAUAGAAACAUGCGUGGAAAUUGCCUAUCCACGACCCAGUAGCAAUUCUCAUGUUCUUGGAAAACCCAACACGAACAUCUACUUUUUAAGAGAGAGUGAAGAAUAGGCAAUGGAAAGUUUGAAUCUUUCCCAAAGCUAAAGGUCCAAGCGGCGACGUUCUGGCCCUGCUACAAAAUGCUAGCUUUUUUGUGAUUUUGUCGUCUACUCGGGGUUUCCAUGGAAGGGCCUGUACUUGUUGAUACCCAGGUUUCAAUCUUCGUGCAUCUCUCGUAUUCGUAAGACACAAGGCCCUACUCCUCUUGUACAAUAUUUAGAUCUUCACUAUGGAGAUCAGACUUCUAGUUGGUAAGUUGGAAGCCUAAGAAAGAUAAAGAGCCCCACAACAUGAAUGCUCUAAAGACUUACUGGCAAGUCGAGAUGGCCGGUGAAAUGUUCUGAAAUCACUUAGCUAUGGAGACUUGGAGCUGAUAUAAGAAUUUAAGCGCAAAUAAAGAUGAUUACUAGGCAGUGACCAGUAAAGUGCAUUUCUUGUCUGCAUACUGAAUCGAAACUAAUAUUGCAGCAAUUUUAACUUGGUUUGCAAUGAUGACAAGUCUACAAUUGUGAACCAGCUCCAUGGCCUUGUUGCAUCCUCACACUUGGUCCUUGCUUCAUCUAGUUAUUGAUAUGUCUUAAUUUGUUGAUGUAGUAUGUCUGCAUGCUUAAGGUUCCUUGAUAGCCACGUUUUUCUUUUUCAUGCCAGACCCAGGUUCUAUUCUACCAUUUACAUAUGCUAUAGCUACUAUAUUUUCAA